AACAAGUAACAUAACCAUUAAAGGUUUACAACUGCCCAAGCAUAAGACUAUCUCUCCCAGAAGAUAACACUGAGGAAUUACGAGAGGAUGUGCCUUUGUCUUCCAAUAUAUUAGGAGGUGAUGUAGAGACAAGUCUAAAUAAACAGUAGCUGAAAGGCUGGAGCGAUAAGGGCAUAUUUAACAUUUUUCAUUAAGACAGGUAAUCCAAAAUAUUUGGCAAUCCAGGACCUAUCCGGAACCAUCGAUGUUUCUGCUUCUUGAUCCCAUCUUGAUACAAAAUAAAUGGCUGAAAAUGCCCGAUCAGCCAAUCACUGGAAGGGGCGGGUCACCAUUUUGUCCAGGGAUUGGCCAAGCUGGCACUUCCUGUGUGUCUAGAAGUAGAAAGUGGAAAUCAGUGAUGACCUGAUGAACGAAAAAAAA